rnacentral:lncRNA from 1 species
GACAUUUGGUAUUCUUCCUGACUUCCUUGUCUCUCCAAGCGGCAAUUCUGGUUGUGUUCGUCUUAGAAAUGACUGCUUUUGUAAGACUGGACGGAUCAUCGGAGAGAGUAGCCAAUUCCUUUCCUGUCCUGGCCUGGCAUCCGCUGGCUUGGGUAAGACUAAGCCAGCAUUUUUGAAGAUCCCAGAAGCAAGAAAGGGCUCUCUCUCUCUCUCUCUCCCCCCCUCCCCUCCUCCGAGCUCCCGACGUGCUGAGAUCCGAGAUAAAGGCCACGGUUAGGCUGCAGCCUAGCAGGUGACAGCAGCAUCCAGAAUGUGGACGUGAAAACCUUCUGAGGGAAGCGAGAAAAAAAAAUGGCACUUUUUCAACGCCUCCCCCUCUAAGACCCACACCCCAGACAACUACCUCAGACAGUCUCUUGGGGUCUCAGGAUCAGAACUGUGCCUGAGGCAGCCGACUGGCUUGAAAAAAAACAACAACCCUUGAUUCUAGGGGAGACUUGCCAAAGUUGUUGCUAGGUUCCAUGUGGAGAAAGCAUUUGCGUGAAGG